rnacentral:rRNA from 1 species
CCUACGGGUGGCAGCAGUGGGGAAUAUUGCACAAUGGGGGAAACCCUGAUGCAGCGACGCCGCGUGAGCGAUGAAGUAUUUCGGUAUGUAAAGCUCUAUCAGCAGGGAAGAAAAUGACGGUACCUGACUAAGAAGCCCCGGCUAACUACGUGCCAGCAGCCGCGGUAAUACGUAGGGGGCAAGCGUUAUCCGGAUUUACUGGGUGUAAAGGGAGCGUAGACGGCUUGGCAAGCCAGAUGUGAAAGGCUGGGGCUCAACCCCAGGACUGCAUUUGGAACUGUCAUGCUAGAGUGUCGGAGAGGCAGGCGGAAUUCCGAGUGUAGCGGUGAAAUGCGUAGAUAUUCGGAGGAACACCGGUGGCGAAGGCGGCCAACUGGGCUUUAACUGACGCUGAGGCUCGAAAGUGUGGGGAGCAAACAGGAUUUGAUACCCCGGUAGUC